UCCAGCAUGAUGGUGUUGAUGUGACCCAUGACCAGCCAUUCAAAGCACUUCAUGGCUACUGAUGUGGGUGCUACGGGGCGGUAAUCGUUUAGUCAGGUUACCUUCGCUUUAUUGGGCACAAGGACUUUGGUGGUCUGCUUAAAACAUGUAGUUAUUACAGACUUGGUCAGGGAGAGAUUGAAAAUGUCAGUGAAGACACUUGCCAGUUGGUUCGCGCAUGCUUUGAGUACACGUCCUGGUAAUCCAUCUGGCCCACGGCUUAUCAAUAAAUGGCCAGUUUUUAAAGUUCUUGCUCACAUCAGCUACGGAGAGCGUAAUCACAGUCGUCCAGAACAGCUGGUGUUCUCAUGCAUGGUUCGGUGUUGCUUGCCUCGAAGCCAGCAUAAAAUACAUUUAGCUCGUCUAGUAGGCUUGCAUCACUGGGCAGCUUGCAGCUGGGUUUCCCUUUGUAGUCCAUAAUAUUUUUCGAGCCCUGCCACAUCCGACGAGCAUCAGAGCCGGUGAAGUACGAUUCAGUCUUAGUCCUGUAUUGACGCUUUGACUGUUUGAUGGUUCGUCUGAGGGUAUAGCGGGAUUUCUUCUAAGCAUCCGGAUUAGUGUCCCGCUCCUUGAAAGCAGCAACUCUAGCCUUUAGCUCGCUGUGGAUGCUGCCUGUAAUCCAUGGCUUCUGGUUGGGAAAUGUACGUGCGGUCACUAUGUGGACGUCGACAUCGAUGCAUUUAUUGAUGAAGCUGAUGACUGAGGUGGUAUACCCCUCAAUGCCUCACCUUGGUGCCCACACCAGGUUUAUGGCUCUAUACUACACACCAUUUUGUGUUUUUCUGUACACCGCUAUGGCUCUUCUGUACAUAGCAGAAGUCUAUCACCUCAACAAGCGAAAGGGAAACUGGGAUGCCUUUCAUUGUGUGGAACUGUGGUUGUGUGAAUUCACCCAGAACAUACCUUGGAUGGACAUGGAGAAAACUGAAUGCCUGCCUGCUCUGCUAGGAGGGGCUACUGACUCUACACAGCCUAGGGAUUGGUCUCUAUGUCUGUCAGUCAGGACUGUAGCAAAUUUCAGCAACAACAAUUGUCACCAUAAGCCUACAGUGUCUGAAAUGUAAAUUAUUAGAACUACAACAAGGACAAUGUUUCUGCAAUGAAACACACAACACAGUCACAGCAUCUCACUUUAGAACAGGGAAACACUGCUUACUGGCAAUCUUAAUUCCAUACUCCAUCUGACGCCUGUUCAGGUCAGGAGGGUGCUUAGAUUUACUGAACAUGCGAUAGAAUAACGACAGGUAUGAUUGUUAUUCAAGUAGAAUGAAAAGUAUGCAGUUAAAUGAGCUGUUACUUGUACUUUAAUCUAUGUCUUAAUGCAUGUGUGUGGGACCCUGUCAGGUCACAUUGUUCUCUUGGUCUUGAAAUAUCUUUAUGUCAGGGCUGUUUAAUGUCGGUCCUGGAGGGCCGAAACACACACAAAGGUUUUUCUUCUACCUGGUAGUUAAUUGCACUCACCUGCUGUCCCAGGUCUGAAUUAGUCCCUUAUUAGAAGGAGAGGAUGAAAACCAGAAGUGUUUCGGCCCUCCUGGACCGACAUUGAACAGCGCUGCUUCAUGAUAACUCUGGCAGGCUGCUUCUCAGGUUAGCACUCGCCCCCCAGUCUUGGUUUUGACUCAAACUAAAUUUGCUCCGGUCUUGAAUCGGUCUCACUUUAGGUCUCGAACAAGGCAUUGCCCGCAGAUGUAUUGCUUUGAAAACGUGGAAGUGUCCCAAAACAUUAUUAAUGUAUUAUUCACUAAAUAGUGGUUCUCACCUACAACAUUAAGAUGGAUUAUCAUAAUGGAAUUGCACUAUUUAAAGAAUCAAGCAUUUCAUUUUUCAGCUAUUGAUCAAAUAGGCAUCGCUCUGGUGAACUAGUCCUAUACUGAGACUUAUGUGAAUAAUGACCUAUUGAUAUGUUUUUAUUGUAGGUAAAACACACAUUUCACAUUUGCCUUAACAGGGUGUGUUGGAGAAAUUGUCGAAAUAGGGGAACUGUUCAUUUGAUGAGGAUCAAAAUGAACUUCUUCCUCCCCUCUGCCAUCCUCUUCUUCCUUUCCCUCCUAUCUCAACCUCUUCUACCCUCAUCCGUUCUCUCGUCCUCACUCUGUAACCCCUCCCAACCUCUUCCUUAUUUCCUCCUCCACCUCUUCUUCCUCUCCUACCCCUCCAUUUGUUCUGAGGGUAUAUCCAGGAGCAUAACAUCCUAAUGAGGCUAACACACACACACACACACACACACACACACACACACACACACACACACACACACACACACACACACACACACACACACACACACACACACACACACACACACACACACACACACACACACACACACACACACACACACACACAGAGAGACAGACAGACUAUCCUCUGAGACACAUGCUGUGGUGAUGACGGGAUUCAACUCAAAUGACUCGAGUGGUUUUCCACUCUAACAGCCUCUCCAAGGAUGUCAUUUGUAAGGAGAGAGUAGGUUCAACCCUAUGAUUUUGACAGGCAUGAGUCCUUAGUUGCUACAUCAUUGAUUCUUGAAGAAUAUAACUUAUAAAUUACUCAUGUGCUUAGUUUAACUUUCAGAACCCAUCAGAACCCAAAUAUACACUUGUUUAGUCUGUUUAACCUCUACAGGAUCGGUGUACCCCCGUGGGACGGUUGAGCUAACGUAGGCUAAUGUGAUUAGCAUGAGGUUGGAAGUAACAAGAACAUUUCCCAGGACAUAGACAUAUCUGAUAUUGUCAGAAAGCUUAAAUUCUUGUUAAUCAAACUGCACUGUCCAAUUUACAGUAGCUAUUACAGUGAAAUAAUACCAUGCUAUUGUUUGAGGAGAGUGCACAGUUAUGAACUUAAAAAUGUAUUAAUAAACCAGUUAGGCACAUUUGGGCAGUCUUGAUACAACAUUUUUAACAGAAAUGCAAUGGUUCAUUGGAUCAGUCCAAAACUUUACACAUAAACUGCUGCCAUCUAGUGGCAAAAUCGAAAUUGUGCCUGGGCUGGAAUAACACAUUAUGGCCUUUUUCUUCCAUUUCAAAGAUGACGGUACAAAACAAAAAGUGUUCUUUUCUUUGUAUUAUCUUUUACCAGAUCUAAUGUGUUAUUCUCCUACAUUAAUUUAACAUUUCCACAAACAUCAAAGUGUUUCCUUUCAAAUCGUAUCACGAAUAUGCAUAUCCUUGCUUCAGGGCCUGAGCUACAGGCAGUUAGAUUAGGGUAUGUCAUUUUAGGCAAAAAUUGAAAAAAAGGGGCGGAUCCUUAAGAGGUUCGUACAUUUAAACAAACACUGUAUAGUCUCAAAACAUGGCUAAAAUUAUACAUUUGAUGUUCAGUCCUUGAAUCCAUAGCUCUGUCUUUGAAUUUGAGAGUGGUUACAUUUCUCCAGACCCUCCCUUAGCUUUUUAGCGAAACGGAUGGGGAAUAUGCUUAGUUAUUGCUCCAAUGAAAGAUUCUAGCUUUAACGGAACGAAUAGAGGGAAAUGGUAAAAGGGAACUCUUGCACAGUCCGUAUACUUCUAAAAACCCAACAUAUAAUAAAUGCAACAUUUCUGUCACAUAUCCUUCCCUUUGUCAAGACUUGAGGGAAGGACAUGGUUGAUCCGAUAGCAGGCUGUUUAUUCUCUGUGGUGUGUAUAGCAUUACAUGUGUGUCUUACAGUAUAUCUCUGUUAGGGGACAAGUGACACUUUAUAGGCUAGGGACACUUUAUUAACCAUUAGUUACACACCUAUGUUACUUGUCAUUAUUAGUCAUAGGACGGUUGGUAUCUGUAUUCUGUGGGGUUGAAUUGUAUUCUACUAGAAUUGAUCAUGGCUAUAGUGUGAUGAAACCCGAAUGAAUCCAUUGUACAUUAACAGUUUACUCUGAAUGAGGAAAUAUAUGGUUUUGUCGGUGGAUAACUAGAGCCUUUACUAAAGACAAAGGAAUGAUUAGAUAGACAGAGGAUUUGGGAAGCAGACGUGUCUGUAAUGAGACCAUCAUUAUCAAGAUAUACUCCAUUAUUCCCCACAGGGUAGAAUGACAUGGAGAUCAAUGCUAUAUGGUAAAGACUUAUCCCAUAGGGAUUUAUGCUAAUAACAAAGACAAAGAGAUUGACAGGAGACUUCUUAUUGCUGACAUUCUGGCUGCUAAUAAAUCUGUACCUUUGUUGAGAUCUCUUUGUUCGAUAGGCAACACAGACUAGAGAAAAUAGUUAUGUUAAAAAUAAUCAAUUAAUACAUUUAACGUUUUUAUUUGAUAGAAAGAUUGUUUCUUACAACGAUAAAGGUUUCUCCACAUAUGUAUUCUUCCAAAUCAAAAUAAUGGAGAGUUCUCUUUCACUGGGUAUCCUGAACAUUUCCCUGUAGAGAGACAAAGAGCUGCCUAUACCACAAAGUGAAUGUUAACAGAAAUAAAUACAAAUUCUGUCAAUAAUGUGAAUUCUGCUGUGGUUGGAACCCAUUUGAUCAUGCAGUUUGCUGUGUUUAACACGGUCCUCUCAAAGCUAAGGGGAUGAAUAGAUGUGGGCGCAAUGUUCCGGCACAUACAGAACUAACGCUCUUUCCAGUAAUUUUUGGGGUCCCCCAAAAAAUCUGCUUGUCAAAAGGUUGUGAGGUGGGGGCCCCAACCCAAUUUUGCUUGGUUCCCCCAAAAGGCAAGAGCUGGUGCUGUUGAGAAGCUCAAACGCUGUAAAUGACCCACCCACAAGAAACCAUAAUAUGACAGGUCUGAUUUAGACAGAUACAAAUACGAUGUAUUGUCUGCGAAGGUUUGUCUCUUGCAGAUCAUUUUACAAAGAAAGUCUUUGGAAAUUUGUACCUCAACUGAAAUUUUCUAAUAGAGAAGUCAUUGAAUAAAUGAAGUGAAUUGACGUGAGGCAUUUGAAACAUCAUGUACGUGUAAGUCUGCCAUGUCUGGUACGUCGGACUCAUUUUAGGAAGCUUGAGUUAUACAUGCAGAGCCUAGUAUGGAGGCCUACAGGCAAACAUGUUUUGUUUGUAUGGCAUUUUAUGUGCAUUAGUUAAACCUUCAUAUAUGUCUCUCUGUUGUUGUGUCUUGAAAGCAUACCCUUCAUUAGGGUUUCCGUCCUAUAUUAUCUCUGCAGACAUCCUCAUUCAUAGUGAGACAGUAAUGAGUCAGCCUUGGUUGUCAUGACAUUCAUCUGAAGUUUCAGAAUGGCUUCUUUUCACUACGCCAGGCAGUAAGAUACUUAAGUAUUUGAGAGUGUCAAUGGGAUUCUAUGGCAACAAGAAAUAAAUCAAAAUGGAAGAUAAACGGCUCAUAUAUUUGCCCACUGUGGUGUACUUGAGUAAUGUUUCCUGCCGGGUAGUCUAUAAAAAUAACCAUAAACAAAAUAAUCAUACUCAUCAUGACAAACAACAUCAUUUUUCACAACAGAGAAUUCUAUAGGUUCUGUAGACUAAAGAGAUUGACAUUUACCCGGUGGCAGUUAAGUCAGCCCUGUUGUUAUAACCGUUUAAUAGUAAGCUAACAGGUCUGUCUGGUGGACUGCUGCAGGUGGGAUCUCCUUUCCUUCCCCUCCCCCUCUUCAUACUACUCUACUCCAGGACUGUAUCUCAAUAGUCUAUAGUGGUCUCCUCUCCUCAUCUCCUCUCCUUCAUUUCAAUAGUCUAUAGUGGUCUCCUCUCCUCCUCUCCUUCAUUUCAAUACUCUAUAGUGGUCUCCUCUCCUCAUCUCCUCUCCUUCAUUUCAAUACUCUAUAGUGGUCUCCUCUCCUCAUCUCCUCAUCUCCUCUCCUUCAUUUUAAUAGUCUAUAGUGGUCUCCUCUCCUCAUCUCCUCUCCUUCAUUUCAAUAGUCUAUAGUGGUCUCCUCUCCUCAUCUCCUCUCCUUCAUUUUAAUAGUCUAUAGUGGUCUCCUCUCCUCAUCUCCUCUCCUUCAUUUCAAUAGUCUAUUAUGGUCUCCUCAUCUCCUGUCCUUCAUUUUAAUAGUCUAUAGUGGUCUCCUCUCCUCAUCUCCUCUCCUUCAUUUUAAUAGUCUAUAGUGGUCUCCUCAUCUCCUCUCCUUCAUUUCAAUAGUCUAUAGUGGUCUCCUCGUCUCCUCUUCAGUUUCACUAACUGUAAAUACAGUGUAGAAGAGAGCAAUAUGGUGGAGACCUAAUUGGAAGUAGUUUUGAUCUGUGCCAGUGCUGUUCUUUCAUGUCAGAGCAGAUGUGGUUCAGGAGAAGAGAAGGAGACAUAUAAGACUGUUGAUAUGCAGUAUCAAGUAUCAUUGUUUUAGUGUGCGUUUUGCAAAGUUGAUGUUUAAUGAUCUUGAACUAUACAGGUCGAAAAAUCACGGUUAAGGGUAUCAUCUCAUCCAAGACCAAGGGAGUAAUCUAUCUCAUCACCUGUUCAUGUGGAAAAGCCUGCGUAGCACAAAUGAAAAGACAAUUAAAACAACCCAUAGCUGAACACCGCAGCUCAAUCAGGUGUGAGAACAUUGACUAUCCAGUAGCAGCUUAUUUUGUUGAAGCUAACCAUCCCAUCUCCUCCCUCAAAUACACAGGCAUUGAGCAUGUUGCUCUACCAAGGAGAGGAGGUAACAUGGAGAUCCUACAACUACAAAGGGAGGCUUACUGGAUAUACUACUGAAAUCUGCUGUUUCUUUUAUUUGGAAUAAGCUUUAUGUGUGGAUGUCAGCAGUACACUACAUGGUAAAUGAUAUACAGAAAUAUGCAGUUGAUUAUAGCUAAGCUAAUAUAAAUAACAUUGGCAUACACAUACAUUAUCUGUUAUUCAAAACCAACACGCUUGGAUGCACCUUUUCUGUACAUAAUCCAUACACAACAUGCUGUCACUAUGGCAACAAUGUCCCCCGAUGGCUCAGAAGUCAAAGUUUUAACCAGUUUUAUUUUUUAAUUUUUUACCUUUAUUUAACUAGGCAGGAACAUAUUCUGUAAAGUGAGGAUUACUACUAAUAUUAAUAGCUUUAUCUUUAUUUCACUAGGCAGGAACAUAUUCUGUAAAGUGAGGAUUACUACUAAUAUUAAUAGCUUUAUCUUUAUUUAACUAGGCAGGAACAUAUUCUGUAAAGUGAGGAUUACUACUAAUAUUAAUAGCUUUAUCUUUCAGGUGCUUUUCAGGCAUUGCACUCAAAUCGAUACCAUUGUAGUGAUUUAGGGAGAACCUAUGGAGUGGGGCUUGAACCAGCAACCCUACAGUUAUCCAGACCUCUUGGCAAAGGUACAGUGAACUCACAUUCACAGGGCUUAUACUAUUGUUACUACUGCUUUAAGUCCUUCCACUAUUCAGAGAUACACGUCCAUGUAAUCAAACCAACAGACAUUCUGACAGGGCUAGCCCUGAGCUAGAGAUCGUUUUCCCUCAGGCAGGACUGUACCUAUGAUGACAACAGGAAAAUAUUUCCACUGGACCCACGGAAGUAUGUCCACACAUUUCUAACCCAAUCCUGGGGUUUAACAAAGGAAAAACAGCCACCCCAACCAUCCCAUCUACCCCUGGGGCACCACAGAGACAAUAGAGCCAGUGUUAACUAAACAUUGUCUGUGACUCUAGCCUCUGUCAAUUUGACAGUUUUUCAGUGACCUUUAAACGUGGAACAACUGCUGAUGGACAGUCAAUGUUUUAAUUACUGUAAUAAUGGUGGAGGAUAAACCAAAUGUGUUUUCAAAUCAAAACCUAAUGCUGAUAUGAAACUAUGAUGAUGCAAUCAACACAUGGGCCUACUGCAUUGGUAGUAUUUUAAAUCUGCUCAUAAAAUACUGCUCAUAAAGACCUUUAACAACAAGAACAAAAAUGCACUUCGACAUACAUUUGUACAUCAUUUGUUGAUUUAAUAUCCCCAUGGAUGGUGUAAUGUUGGAGAGCAAAGCCAGCAGUGAAUGUACUGUGAAUCUUGGAUUCUCAUAUGGAUUAUCUGCAAUUUACAUUGAAUAUAUGGUGACUAGCCUAUAUGCCAAGAUAGUGUCCCCACUAGGCACAGACUUCAAUUCAAUGUCGAUUCAAAUGCAAGAACACAGCUUUUCAGGGGUUUUAAAGCUCUUCAGAAGAGAAUCGCCAAUGAGCUGCUUUUUUAAGUCCAGUCACCAGCACCACACUGCUCAGCUGAAAGGACUUUUCUAAAAAUGUGUUUUCAGCAAAAGCAGAUGACAUGAAAGCAGCAGUCUCACCCUCGUUGGUAUAACAGCACACAGAACUAAUCGCUGAACUUCAGCCUGUUGUGUCCUAGAAAGACACACUGCAGAUAACACAUUAAUCAAAUACCAUGUACAUAAGGGGCAUGGGUAUACAGGAAAUAAAUAACAAAUACAGUAAAAGUGCUUAUAACAAGUAAAAGUGCUUGGUUUAUGUUCCUGAGAGCCAUGCAGACACACACUAGAAGAGUAGAGAAUAUAUUAUCAGGCCACUACUGUAACGGUACAAUCCUGUUACAUCAAAUAUAACCAGAAAACAAGAUGAUGAGAGUUUGCCAUGACUGUAGGUCUGCAGUGAACUGACUUGAUCAAUUAUGCGGUAGCCCACUGGGCACAAACCUCACUUCACCGUCUAGUUUUGAUUUACAUUUGAGAGAUACCCUCUUAGAAAAAAGGGUUACAAAAGGGUUCUUUGGCUGUCCCCAUUGAAGAACCCUUUUUGGUUCCAGAUUGAACUAUUUUGGGUUCCAUAUACAGCCCUCUGUGGAAAGGGUUCUACCUGGAACCAAAUAGGGUAUGGGGACAGCCAAAGAACCCUUUUAGGUUCUAGAUAGUACUAUUUUUUCUAAGAGGACUCAAAAGCCUGCACACACUGUGCCUGUCCAGGAUGGGAGUUGAAGGUAAGCCCUAUGCACCAAGUCAGGGGCUGAAAUGGUGGUGUCUGGUUAGGUAGGUACAAGUGGACGUGGAGGUUUAGGGCUGAAGGCUGAUUUGGUGGUCUGGUUAGGUAGGUACCAGUGGGACGUGGAGGUAUAGGGCUGAAGGCUGAUUUGGUGGUCUGGUUAGGUACGUACCAGUGGGACGUGGAGGUUUAGGGCUGAAGGCUGAUUUGGUGGUCUGGUUAGGUAGGUACCAGUGGGACGUGGAGGUUUAGGGCUGAAGGCUGAUUUGGUGGUCUGGUUAGGUAGGUACCAGUGGGGAUGUGGAGGUUUAGGGCUGAAGGCUGAUUUGGUGGUCUGGUUAGGUAGGUACCAGUGGGACGUGGUUUAGGGCUGAAGGCUGAUUUGGUGGUCUGGUUAGGUAGGUACCAGUGGGACGUGGAGGUUUAGGGCUGAAGGCUGAUUUGGUGGUCUGGUUAGGUAGGUACCAGUGGGGACGUGGAGGUUUAGGGCUGAAGGCUGAUUUGGUGGUCUGGUUAGGUAGGUACCAGUGGGGAUGUGGAGGUUUAGGGCUGAAGGCUGAUUUGGUGGUCUGGUUAGGUAGGUACCAGUGGGGAUGUGGAGGUUUAGGGCUGAAGGCUGAUUUGGUGGUCUGGUUAGGUAGGUACCAGUGGGACGUGGAGGUUUAGGGCUGGAGGCUGAAAUGGUGGUCUGGUUAGGUACGUACCAGUGGGACGUGGAGGUUUAGGGCUGAAGGCUGAUUUGGUGGUAAGGUUAGGUAGGUACCAGUGGGAUGUGGAGGUUUAGGGCUGAAGGCUGAUUUGGUGGUCUGGUUAGGUAGGUACCAGUGGGACGUGGAGGUUUAGGGCUGAAGGCUGAUUUGGUGGUCUGGUUAGGUAGGUACCAGUGGGAUGUGGAGGUUUAGGGCUGAAGGCUGAUUUGGUGGUCUGGUUAGGUAGGUACCAGUGGGACGUGGAGGUUUAGGGCUGAAGGCUGAUUUGGUGGUCUGGUUAGGUAGGUACCAGUGGGGAUGUGGUUUAGGGCUGAAGGCUGAUUUGGUGGUCUGGUUAGGUAGGUACCAGUGGGGAUGUGGAGGUUUAGGGCUGAAGGCUGAUUUGGUGAUCUGGUUAGAUAGGUACCAGUGGGACGUGGAGGUUUAGGGCUGAAGGCUGAUUUGGUGGUAAGGUUAGGUAGGUACCAGUGAGAUGUGGAGGUUUACGGCUGAAGGCUGAUUUGGUGGUCUGGUUAGAUAGGUACCAGUGGGAUGUGGAGGUUUAGGGCUGAAGGCUGAUUUGGUGGUCUGGUUGGAUAGGUACCAGUGGGAUGUGGAGAUUUAGGGCUGAAGGCUGAUUUGGUGGUCUGGUUAGGUAGGUACCAGUGGGAUGUGGAGGUUUACGGCUGAAGGCUGAUUUGGUGGUCUGGUUAGGUAGGUACCAGUGGGACGUGGAGGUUUAGGGCUGAAGGCUGAUUUGGUGGUCUGGUUAGGUACGUACCAGUGGGACGUGGAGGUUUAGGGCUGAAGGCUGAUUUGGUGGUAAGGUUAGGUAGGUAGCAGUGGGAUGUGGAGGUUUAGGGCUGAAGGCUGAUUUGGUGGUCUGGUUAGGUAGGUACCAGUGGGGAUGUGGAGGUUUAGGGCUGAAUGCUGAUUUGGUGGUCUGGUUAGGUAGGUACCAGUGGGACGUGGAGGUUUAGGGCUGAAGGCUGAUUUGGUGGUCUGGUUAGGUAGGUACCAGUGGGACGUGGAGGUUUAGGGCUGAAGGCUGAAAUGGUGGUCUGGUUAGGUAGGUACCAGUGGGACGUGGAGGUUUAGGGCUGAAGGCUGAUUUGGUGGUCUGGUUAGAUAGGUACCAGUGGGACGUGGAGGUUUAGGGCUGAAGGCUGAUUUGGUGGUAAGGUUAGGUAGGUACCAGUGGGAUGUGGAGGUUUAGGGCUGAAGGCUGAUUUGGUGGUCUGGUUAGGUAGGUACCAGUGGGACAUGGAGGUUUAGGGCUGAAGGCUGAUUUGGUGGUCUGGUUGGAUAGGUACCAGUGGGAUGUGGAGGUUUAGGGCUGAAGGCUGAUUUGGUGGUCUGGUUAGGUAGGCACCAGUGGGGGUACCAGACCCACCUCCCUCAGCUGGUCCAGUUUUUCCAGAGUCUCCUUGGUGUCAAACUGCCACUCUUUCACCUGCUCCACUGCUGUAAAUCCCUCCUGAAACACACAGACGCGUGAUUGUACAAACAGUUACACACUGAUGCAAAAAGACACAUUUGAAUAGAAAAUGUCUAUGCCAACCUCAAGUUUUAUUUGAGAAGAUGUGAUACUCACAUGGUUUUUGAGCCUGGUGUCAGCCCCUCCAACAAUGAGCAGCUUGAGUAUCUUAUAUCUGCCCAGACGCACAGCAUCAUGCAGCGGAGUGUCCCCCUCCUGGAAUACACAAAUACAAUACAACACUAUGAGGACAACCAAGAUAACGAUGACAACGAGGACAACCAAGAUAAUGAUGACAACGAGGACAACCAAGAUGAUGAUGACAACGAGGACAACCAAGAUAAUGAUGACAACGAGGACAACCAAGAUAAUGAUGACAACGAGGACAACCAAGAUAAUGAUGACAACGAGGACAACCAAGAUGAUGAGCCAGAUUGUUACAAUGAGGAUGUUUGUUUAUUGUAUUUCAAGAGGAAAGGAAUGAUAAAAGGCUUUUUAAGCACCAAUACCACACAAAACUGGCUUACAAAAUCAUAUUAGACCAGGUAAGAUGCAGUGAGAAAGCAUGACGUCCUACCCUGUCUCUGGCGUUGAUUUUGGCUCCACUGUUCAGCAGGUGUCCCACUACGUCAGAAUGGCCUGUCCUGGUGGCCACAUGGAGAGGGCUGGCCAUCAGCUAGGGAUGAGAGAGAGAGAGAGAGAGAGAGAGAGAGUUACAGCCAACAUGGGCGCAUUUCUCCUCAUUUCCCCCUCUUCACCGGGAUUGAUGUGAAAUACAUUGUGAAAGAUGCUGCAGAUAACAAUUCCUUGUAGCUGAAAUCUUCCCAAUUCUACAUGUCAAAUGACAAAUAAACAUGUCUGUUCUUAAUAUAUCUUAACCCCACUGAGGACAACCCUGGACUGGUGAAAUGAUAAGGCCGUGGGUAGAUGGCCAUUCUGUUAGCUGGCUAACUCCAUAAUGAAUGAAAUGUCAGUGGCUAUAGUCGCACAAAAGCAUCAUGACACACACCCACGUCUCACCUUGUCCCUGAUGUUGAGGUCAGCUCCAUAUAUCUGGAGGACCUUGAUCACAGCUAGACUUCCUCCUCUACAGGCCCAGUGAACAGCUCUGGACUCCAGCUGGAACACACACAACAUGGCCACCUUCGCUGUACAAUGUCUGAGGCUUAACAACUGACUCAUCACCAGCUUUCCAUUCCACAGCCCUAUAACCUUAGCAAUUAUACAAUUAUCAGCGCAAUACUUGAGGUUAUAUAGAUGUUACAUGCUGUAUAUGUGAUAAAAAAAAAAGUUGUCCAUUUGUUCCUUAGCAUUGGAGUUAAAAACACAAUUAUGUCAAUUAUGUAAUUUCAUAGCUUUUAUCAUGGCAACAUACAUUGACUUUAGAACAUACAGUAUUAAUGGCAAGUCUCUCACCCGGUCUUUAGAAUUGAUGUUAGCUCCUUUCUCUAGAAGCUUCUGGAUGACGGUGGAGUGUCCCUCGAUGGAGGCAAAGUGCAGUGCUGUCCUCCUUAACUGGAAAAUUAUAAAUUAUGUAAGAUGUUGAAAUGUUAAAAUUAUUUUGUUUAAGAUAAAAGGUACAAUUUUUUUAAAAUAUAUAUUUUGUGCUACUGCUACAGUAGUGCAAGGCCAUUGCAGAUUGCUAGGCCACAAUAAUUUCAAUUUACCUCUUGGACAAUACAGUUGAACUUUGAACUAUUGAAGCCAGAUCUUUCAACAAGUAAAUACAUAUCUUUUGUGAAGUGAAGUCACAUGCCUGGAUUUUAACCUUUGUUUUGAGCCUUUUCCAGAAAUGGGAAGUAGACCAAAAAUUAAAGCAAUUGUCUGAGGAUCGUGCUAGAUCGUUCGGUGUAAAACUAAUCGUUCUAUGUAAAAGCUUAAUAAAGGUUAAAAUCCAGAUCAUGUGACAUGAUAAGUUGACCGUAUACCAUACAGACAAGUACUUUCCUCAUCACUGAAAUUGGGGUCUCCUCCAUCUUCCAGAUAUUUCUCCACCACUUUGAGUUUACCCUGAGUCGCUGCCUUCAUGAAGUCAAAAGUGUCUACAGGUCCUAACUGACAAACACAAAGACCCAUAAAAACGUGUUUGUGUUACUCUCUGGGACUUAGCAACUGAUCCAGAAUCAGCAAACCCUGGUCCCACUCUUCAAAAUGACUAACAGAGUAUAUUCUGCAUUGUUCCGGUCAUCAAAAAUAAAUAUUGCUAAAUCUGAUAUAAAUGUUGCCUCACCACAGGUAUGUCCAUGGCCAACUUGGAUGAGGACCCCGACUUCUUCAACUUCCAGAUCUCCUUGAUGCUCUCUGGUCCUCCCUGAUCAACUAUCUUCCCCUCUGAAAAUGAUUUCCUCUCUCUCUCCUCUGGCUAGGGGAGACAAGAUGGUGGUCAGAAGAUUAGAUUCUACUCUCAUACAGACUGACUCAGAAUUGGUACCCCCCCUCUCUCUCUCUCUCUCUCUCUCUCUCUCUCUCUCUCUCUCUCUCUCUCUACCUUGACAUAAUAACAACAAUAAAGAAUACGACUGCCAAAACACGACACGAGAUAGAUUACAUUCAUCGUGUAAUGAAUGAUAUCUAAUAUUGUCUUAACUAUUUAAAGUAUUACUAUUCGCUCAUUCUUCAUACACCAGCCCUAGUCUGGUAUGAGUGACUGGCCUCCCUUCCUUUGUUUUGUGUCUAGUGUAAACCAACAGCUGUUUGAACAGUAGCUAGCUUCCACCUGAUUUACUACAGGGGAUAGAAGGGGAGAGGGUGUGAGAGGGUCAGGUCAGUGCCUGGAAAAGCAGAGAUGCCAGGGGCUCAUGUUGAAGUGGCUAAUGGCCAGAUACAUUCAUAGCACGGUAACCUCAUAGCCUGGUUGUGAUCGUAAAUGAGAACAUGUUCUCAGCAAAAUAUCUGGUAAUAGAACAAUGAUGUUGGCACUAACCAACCUUGGGGAAAUAGAAACAGCCUCUUGCGAUAGAUGUGAAUAGGUUGUGUGUUCUUCAUAAAAUACAGGUGAAUAGAAUCAAAUAUUGUCUCAAUAACAAGCCUGGUAAAAGAGAGCUAAGUAGAAUGUAUUGACAUGAAACUAUUCCUGGAUUUAGAAUGUAGGAUUCACAGACUAAUGGAACUGAGGGUGAGCACAUAACCAAAUGUAUCAGAAGUUUAUUUAUUUUUCCUUUGACUUUACCUGGAUGCUUUCAACAUUGUGAUUGGUGGGUUCACUGCCUGGUUCUUCCUGUUCAGGUGUGUCCCACUUUAUAUGUCCCAGCUUCACUGCUCGCGCUCUGCGACGCUGGUUAAUAGCAUAGAAAUAAUAUUCAAAUCAUAACUCUAAAGUGAAUUGAAAAACACACCUUAAUAUACUUUACAAUUAAAACAGAAAUGCAAAAAUAGAAAGACAAGCAAAACAUUCUUUUCCAUUUGUAGAAAACCGGCGUAACCCUUCUGUACCUGCAGUAAAGUACUUAUGUUUACAGUUUCUUUAACCGCUUUGGAACUAUUUUCACAAGAAUGUGGUGAAUUUUAAAAACUGUUUGUACAAAACUCCAAAUUGGCAACACUCGUAAAGCAGCCAUUUUACAAUCAAAACCUUUCAUUAUGCAUUCAUUUUGUUUGCAGACAUCUUUCACCACACAACCAUUGAUCCAAAAUCUAAGUUUACUGUGAAAUAUAAUGAGUACAUUGGUUUAAUCACCAAAACACAACAUAAUGAUAUCUUCUCAGUUUAGUCAUUUGAACAACCAGCUAAUCCAAUAGCAACAAAUUUCCCUUUGAAUGUAGUAAGCUCCAGUACUGUAAAGUGCAAUACAUUACACGGUGUUUUACAUCAGGCAAUACACUUGCACUACCCAUUAAAAUUGACUAAACAUCACAUUUCCAUAAUUUCUAUCCCAUGUGUGAUCAAAGGUGUGAUCAUUGGACACAUCUUUCAUCAUGUAAUCAAAUAAAAGAAAAUAAGGAAACAAUGUUUAGCAGCACUAGUUUGUAUCAAGCCUGUUUUGAGCAUUUCGCCCAUAGAAAGAAUGAACAGUAAAUAUGUUAAUUGUUCAUGCACCUGGGGAUAAACCUUUUGGCAUGGUGAAUCCAUGGCCUGAAGGAGGGUAGUGUGCUCAUGGGGAUGGAAAUCAUACAUCUUCCACCUGCAUUGUAAUCGUCUAUUGUAUUUUACAGUAUUGUAUUGUAGUUAUGUGUUGUAGUGGUCCUGUACGUGACUCAGUUAGUAAGAGCAUGGCACCAGCAACACCAGAGUUGUGGGUUUGAUUCCCAUUGGGGUCACAUACCAAAAUAUGUGGACUGUUGUCACUUUGGAUGAAAGUGUCUGCUACCUAAAUGGCAUAUAUUACGGUAUUACAGUGCUGUAUUAGCCAGUAUUAAAGUACUCUAUUGGCCAAUGAUAUUUUAGUAAAGCAGUAUGAAAUCUCCUGAUCAAAAAGACCCCAGAAACGUCAUUUUGGACACAUGUUUACCGUAUAGAGGAUGCAUUUCUUUCUUGUUUUCGAAUUUCUGUAUUAUUUUCGUAUUGGUAUUGUAUAUAUUUCUGUAUUAUUUUCCUAUUGGUAUUGUAUAUAUUUCUGUAUUAUUUUCCUAUUGGUAUUGUAUAUAUUUCUGUAUUAUUUUCCUAUUGGUAUUGUAUAUAUUUCUGUAUUAUUUUCCUAUUGGUAUUGUAUAUAUUUCUGUAUUAUUUUCCUAUUGGUAUUGUAUAUAUUUCUGUAUUAUUUUCCUAUUGGUAUUGUAUAUAUUUCUGUAUUAUUUUCCUAUUGGUAUUGUAUAUAUUUCUGUAUUAUUUUCCUAUUGGUAUUGUAUAUAUUUCUGUAUUAUUUUCCUAUUGGUAUUGUAUAUAUUUCUGUAUUAUUUUCCUAUUGGUAUUGUAUAUAUUUCUGCACUGUAGGAGCUAAAAAUACAAGCAUUUCACUGCACCUGCUGUAACAUCUACUAAUCUGUGUACGCAACCAGUAAACUUUGAUUUGUUACAUACAGUACAUCUCUGAUCUUGUCAAUAACAGAU